GAUGAACGCUGGCGGCGUGCCUAAUACAUGCAAGUCGAGCGCACGGAGGAGAACUUUGUUUCCUGGAUGAUUGCGGCAGGCGGGAGUGUCACGUGUGGAUAAUCCAUCGUAGAGAGGGGGAAAACUUGGGGACACCGGAUAUAAUACCAGAAAAUAUGAUGAACCGUAUGGUUCAAUAGAGAGAUGCGGUUUUGUCGCUACCAAAUGGAGGUGCCGGGUUGUAUUUGCUAGGUGGGAUGGUAACGGAUUACCAAGGCAACGAUGCAUAGCCGACCGGGGAGGGUGAUCGGCCACACUGGAACUGAGACCCGGCCCAGACUCCUACGGGAGGCAGCAGUAGGGAAUCUUCCGCAAUGGGCGAAAGCCUGACGGAGCAACCCCGCGUGAGUGAUAAAGGUCUUCGGAUCGUAAAACUCUGUUAUUAGGGAAGAACAUAUGUGUAAGUAACUGUGCACAUCUUGACGGUACCUAAUCAGAAAGCCACGGCUAACUACGUG
rnacentral:rRNA from 1 species